rnacentral:lncRNA from 1 species
UGAGGAGAAAAAAAUCAGCGCCGGGUCUUGCAGAGGGACGACGCACUGUGUUUUGUUUUGUGGAAAUCUGCAAUUAUUUCUAGUUGGAUCAAUGGGUAUAAUUUCUAAAUGGUCGGGUGCGUCUGCGUAAGCUUCUGCGUGCAUUUUGAAACCCAUUCCGUUUUGAGUUGCGAAACGAACGGCGUAGACUUGCCCCUACCCUGGCGGCGGCGCCCAGCAAUAAGUUAGGCCUGCUUUACACAGAGCCAGCGAGCGAGCGCCAGGCCUUCCCGAGGGACCUCAGGAGCAGAGGAGUGGUCUUUCGAAGGUUUUAUUCAGCUCCCAGCUUCCCAGCUCUGGGCUUUCGGGGAAGAGCUUUGGCUGUGUUUAUUAUUAGUCAGUAUUCGAUAUGCCCCUCUAAUACUCCACCAGUUAUGGUUAUUAUUCUUGAUUCAUGUGCGUGGAUGGGUUGUUUUGUUUUUCAAAUCAAGGAUUAUGAGAUAAGAAAUGGAACUGUUUCUCUAGACAACCAGCUGUUAGGAGAGUCGCUCUCUCAAAGACGCAAGAAGGUAACAGUGGAGCUUGCUGGCAAAGGAGCUGCCAUUCAAGUCCCCUCUAAUUUGGGUGGUCACCAGUUCCUAAAGGUGAGGGGUUUCAGCUGAGAUUACCUGGAGACUCUGCAGGCUGCACUGAGCCCAGGGAAUUCAAAUCCUAUCUGCACCCCAGAAGUCGAUGAAAGUCCUGCGGGUGUAGACGCUGCAUCUACGCCAUCAGCAGCUCCAAAAAGUGUGUGUGUGUGUGUGUGUGUGUGUGUGUGUGUGUGUGUGUGUGUGGUGACCUUGUUGCCAGAGACUUAGGCUAUUAACUCUAGGUCUGGGGUCCCCCAUCAGGAGAAAGGAACCUGUCUGGACCCACAGACACACCCCGACUGAAGGGUGCCAUGGAAACUUGGGAGUGCACUGUUCUCUGGGGCUCUGGAAAAGACAAAUUUUCUUUGGCAGAAGGAAUGGUGUCGCGCUGUCGACACGAAAGACUAUUUUUCUUGUUCCCUUUGGAGGGAGGGGGUAGAAAGAAAGCAAGAAAGAAAGGAAAAUUAAAUCCACACGUGUUGUUAAGCUUGCUCGAAGGGCCAGAUUGAAAAUCAGAGAUGAAGCUACACCUCCGAAGCCGGCGGCCUCCAGGGGCCCUUUCCAGCCAGCCUACUCAAGGAAGCAAGCCAGAGAGAGUCCAACCGUUUCAUAAAGGGCUGUGCUUAAUGGGGAGGGGAGGCGAUGCCUCACCCUGGGCCAGGGAAACAAAGGAGAAAUUGGGAAUGGAUACUUCUGUAUACCAGCUCAAUGCGAUGCCUCCAAACUCAGUUCACAUUCAUGCAGAGGCCAAAGCGGGCCAGGCCUGUGGUUUGGGGAAUCUGUCUUCUUCCUUACUCGCCGCCGUGGCCAUAGCAGAUUUUGAACUACAUAGUCUAGAGGACCUAAACAAGAAAUCAUUUUACCCACACUGAUGCAGCCUCCUCAGUCUUCCAGGAUAAUUCUCAAUUGCUUAUCCACCCCCUCCCCAUCUCCUGAGAGAAAUUUGCAAGACCCCAGCCUGGGAGUAGGCCGCCCUCAGCUGGGGCCCACUGAGGAGGGAGAAGGUGAAGAGAGUUGACACUCCUGCCUGGAGCUGCGAGUGAAAACUCUGGUAAUGACGUUAGAGAGGUGAAAGGGAGGUGGGGUGUGGGUGAGGGUUAGGAGGGCAGCCAAACCCCAAAGUAGAAGGAUCCGUCACCAAGAUGAUUGCUUGGUCGAGACCUCUAAUUUUUCUUUAUCAGCCUGGGUUCCCACCCCACCCCCAAGUCAGUCCCUUCCAGCCUUAUGAAGCCCUGAUAGAAGGCUCUGGAAGCAGAAACAUACUGUCCCUCUCUCCCAGUCACAACUGGAAGAACACUGGUGAGUGAGGAAGGAGACAGAACUAGUCAGGAUGAGAGAGCUAUAAUUCAUCAAGGACUCUUGGUUUCUGAUCACUAUGGCAACCAGGAGUCACCCACAACACUUCCAACAAUGGAAACUGAGGGAUACAACAGCCCUGUGCCCUGCCAGUGUCCUGAGACCCGAAGAUGCUUCCACUUCUGUCCUUGGCUUUCCCAAGAAAAUUGAUAGUAUCAGCGUCACCCGGGACUUUUUAGAGUGAGUAUACUAGACAGAACCACAGCCAGGUCUGGAGUUUUAGGUGUUCUCCACUCCAUACCCCCUGGUCCCUUCAGUGUUGGAGACACCUUGGGCAGGUACUCUUCUAGCCAUCCCUCCGAUGGCCUGAAGCAACCUCUUCAUGGCAGGAAGAAGUUAAAAACUAGAAAUUCUGACA